rnacentral:miRNA from 1 species
GUGUGUGUGUAUGUACAUGUGUGUGUACACAUAUACAUAAACACACACAUACACA